GUGUUAGCUAAUACCGCAUACGAGUCUUAGGGGCAUCCCCAGGACUUAAAAGGAGCAAUCCGCUCGAUGACGGGACCGCGUCCCAUUAGCUAGAUGGUGGGGUAAUGGCCUACCAUGGCACCGAUGGGUAGCUGGUUUGAGAGAGCGACCAGCCACACUGGGACUGAGAAACGGCCCAGACUCCUACGGGAGGCAGCAGUGAGGAAUUUUCCGCAAUGGGCGAAAGCCUGACGGAGCGACGCCGCGUGUGGGAAGAAGGCCUUCGGGUCGUAAACCACUGUCGAAGGGGACGAUAAUGACGGUACCCUUGGAGGAAGCCCCGGCUAACUACGUGCCAGCAGCCGCGGUAAGACGUAGGGGGCGAGCGUUAUUCGGAAUUAUUGGGCGUAAAGCGCUCGUAGGCGGGAUCGAUAGUCCGUGAAGAAAGACCUGGGCUCAACUCAGGGAACGGCACGGAUACUACGA
rnacentral:rRNA from 1 species